AACAAAACUUCUGUUCUGGUUGUUUUCUGAGUACUGAAAGUUGUAGCUCUUGAGAAGCGCACAGAGAAGAAAGAAAGAUGGCGUCAUCGCGUCCCCCACCGUCGAAAUCAGUGGAUCUGGACCUCACCAUCGUGGCGGCGAAGCACCUCAAGAACGUCAACUGGAAGAACGGCGAUCUGAAGCCCUACGUCGUUUUCUGGGUGGACCCCGAGCGCCGUCUGGCCACCAAAUCCGACGACUCCGGCAACACCUCCCCCGUCUGGAACGAGCGCUUCGCCCUCCCCCUCCCUCUCCCACUCCACGACUCCUUCCUCACCCUCGAGAUCUUCCACUCCAAACCCUCUGACACCCUCAAACCCCUCGUCGCCACCCUCCGCCUCCCUCUCAAAGACCUCCACGACCUCCACGACUCCACGCGCCUCCGCAAGUUCCCCCUUUCCCGCCCCUCCGGCCGCCCCCACGGCAAGAUCCACCUUAAACUUGGCCUCCUCGGCCGCCCCCAAUUCCAAUCCCUCGACUAUCUCAACCCUAACCCCAACCCCAACCCUAACCCUAAUCCUAACCCCAGUCCCAAUCCCAAUCCCAACCCCAACCAUAACCCUAAUUUCGUCUUCUACAGGGGAUAUUCCCACUCGCCUUCUCCACCACCCUCCCCAUACCCAUCGUACCCCUCUUACCCCGAUUCCUAUAAUUCUUCUUACUACCCUGGUUACUAUUCUGGUGCUCCUCCUCCUCCUCCUCCGAGACCCUUCUUCGACCGUUACGCUGGGCCCAGUGGGCCUUCCGCUCCGCUUGAUUAUUCCACUUCCUACGACCCCAAGCCCAGACCUUCCAAAAUGGGCCUAGGUGCUGGCCUCGCUGUUGGCGCUGUUGCUGGAGCGCUCGGUGGGCUUGCUCUUGAGGAGGGGCUUAAAUACGAAGAAGACAAAAUCGCGGAGAGGGUCGAGAACGACGUCGCUGCUAGUAUUGCGCGCGACGAUUACAGCGAUUAUCGAGUGGAUUACUGAACCAAACAACUCCUACUGGCUUGUGUUAUCAUUUUUUUUGUGGGGAUGACUUGGAGCGUGCUCAGGCAUCCGUAGGUGUUUCGUUUUUCGAAUUUGGUGGUUCAGCGAAAUGGAGAGUCGUAUGUUCGGCAUAUAUGCAGUUUUUCUGCAGAAAUUCUCAGCAGAAACUAGGCUAGAGACUCGUGAUUCUCACGGUUCGAGAGAGAAUACCAGAAAAAGAGAAAAUACAAGAGAAACGGUAGAGGAGAAAGAAAAAACUAGAAAUAAGUGUGCUCGUCAGAAAAAUAACACGGAGGGAAAGUUGUACCCUUUUUUAUUAAUGUAUAAAAUAUAUAAAACAUCACACACUCCUAUUUAGUAUGAAAUCGUAGCUGUUGUUAAUUCUUCACUAAUCUUUAGAUAUAAAAUAUUUCCUCCAUUUUAUUUUUAUUAAUGUGUAAGGUUUUUUAACACGAGGAAAAAAAAGUUGUUUGUAGACUAGUGGAAAGGGAAGAUGAUUCCGGAACAGGGUUUUUCUUUAUGUGGAAAGUGAAAAUAAUGGACAAUAGCCCCUCAACAAAUACAAAUGCUACUCUGAUUUCAGAGUUAACAUAUUUAAUUGGAUGCCGUUUGUUUUAAUUCUC